rnacentral:rRNA from 1 species
AUUGAACGCUGGCGGAAUGCUUUACACAUGCAAGUCGAACGGCAGCACGGACUUCGGUCUGGAGGCGAGUGGCGAACGGGUGAGUAAUGUAUCGGAACGUGCCCAGUCGUGGGGGAUAACGUAGUGAAAAUUACGCUAAUACCGCAUACGAUCUAUGGAUGAAAGCGGGGGAUCGCAAGACCUCGCGCGAUUGGAGCGGCCGAUAUCAGAUUAGGUAGUUGGUGGGGUAAAGGCCCACCAAGCCAACGAUCUGUAGCUGGUCUGAGAGGACGACCAGCCACACUGGAACUGAGACACGGUCCAGACUCCUACGGGAGGCAGCAGUGGGGAAUUUUGGACAAUGGACGCAAGUCUGAUCCAGCCAUUCCGCGUGCAGGAUGAAGGCCCUCGGGUUGUAAACUGCUUUUGUACGGAACGAAAAGGUCUCUCUUAAUACGGGGGACUCAUGACGGUACCGUAAGAAUAAGCACCGGCUAACUACGUGCCAGCCGCCGCAGUAA